GUAUCCUGGCUCAGGAUGAACGCUAGCUACAGGCUUAACACAUGCAAGUCGAGGGGCAGCAUGAACUUAGCUUGCUAAGUUUGAUGGCGACCGGCGCACGGGUGAGUAACACGUAUCCAACCUUCCGUUUACUCAGGGAUAGCCUUUCGAAAGAAAGAUUAAUACCUGAUAGUAUGGUGAGAUUGCAUGAUAGCACCAUUAAAGAUUUAUUGGUAAACGAUGGGGAUGCGUUCCA
rnacentral:rRNA from 1 species